rnacentral:lncRNA from 1 species
UGAAGAGUUAAAUGCUAAAAAUGAAAUAGCGUGUUAAUAGGAUGCAGAGUGGGAGUAGAGGUAGAUGUGUUAUUCCUCUGCCUGGGUGAGCUGGGGCUGCCCCGAGAGGCCAUUGCAGCCCCAGGAAGCAGAACUCACUUGGAACACAGAAGAAGGUGGGGUGUUCUCAGAAACACGAAUGGUCCAGGACCCCACUCCAUCCUUUCUUACUCAUGCUGGUACAGGGAAGUACCAGCCACCAGCUUCUGCUGAAAUGAGGCAUCGCAGGCAGAGGAGGGAGGAAGCCGUGGGAAGUUUUCCGGAAAAGCAGAACCGGUUCCUAGAAAGGCUCUAACGAACUUGAUGGAAGGUGAAUGAAUACCUGCACCACUCUAUUUUGGAGUCAUUUACCAAAUGCCACUACUGUCAAGAAACAGGCCAUCACAUCCUUCCUCUGCAUUCACGAAUAUCACCCUUCAGUAUCUUAAGACUUGCUAUUUGUCAUGAAACUCAUAUGUAAAUUCCUCUAUGGUUAUAUUAAGUAUACAUUUGAUUUUUGAAUUAAAAAAAUGAUCAAGGGCAUAUAUAGAUCAUCUUUGUCAGCACAUAGGAUUAAAGUUACUCAGCUUUUAUGAAGAGGCCCUGCAACAAACAUGGCAUGGAUUUCUGCAUAUGUAUCCAGCCAUUACUAAUUUCUGUGUCAAAGUGUUUAAAACUGUUAUAAAUGAUUAGAUGAUUCAGUGUAGAGUUCAGUUAAAAUUGCAGAACUAGAGGGGAGAGAUGGGAAGUGCCACACAAGGGUUAAGUCCCUCACCGCAAACACAGCCAUGUAGCAGACAUCAGAGUGACCCAGGCGGCUGGAGCACUUGGCUGGUCCACCACCCAGAGCUGGGAAGCUGUUUUCCUUGAGGACUCUAUACUCGGGAGAGAAGAAGACGUUAACUCUGUGUGUGUCUCUGAGACGACUUCAAGGGAUGUUUAGUGGGGAAAGAAUUUCCAGAGUAUGUUUUUUUUCAUCUCAUCUGAAAGACACAGUGGUUUUCAACUAGCUUGGUGCUGUUAUGACAGUCAUUUCACCUGACCUCUUUUUUAAACAGGCCUAAGACAAGCCACUCUGCCAUCUAAGCAGAACUAAUGCUGUUACAAGAGCAUGCAAAUUGUAAUUAAAAAAAAAAAAUCCAUAAGCCAGCAGUUUCUUUUGACCACAGUGGCUUUUUCCCUCCUGCUAGUUCUGCUGAAACAGCAGCGCUGCUGUGCACUAUGAGACUCCAGCUCUGUGCUCCAAUUUGUUGUUCCUCUGAUGAGAACUGCAUGUGAGGAUGCUUGGUUUUGUGUGUGAAGGGCCACACAUGCAGCAGGAUUUCAAGUCUCUGAGGACAGGGGCCCCUCCCUCCUUUACAUCACUUUUCGUUUAUAGGAUCCCACCCCAGGGCUGUCAUGGGGGCUGUGUUAUCGCCUGUUGAGUGGAUGUGUGGUUGAACAAAUGAGGGACUGAACAGAGAGCUCCAGUCUCCUGUGUUCUAAACCGAACAGUGCAAACUGGUCGGGAUCCGUUUCAAUCAAAGAGCAGGAUCUGUGAGAUGCAGAAAUAAAAAGAUGAGGAUACGAUUCCA